rnacentral:rRNA from 1 species
AUGGGCAGCGUCGGCGGCGGUGGCUCGCCGGAGCAGGACCAGCCCGUGUGCGUGACGGGCGCCACCGGCUACGUCGGCUCCUGGCUCGUCCGCACCCUGCUGCGGCGGGGCCGCCGCGUCCACGCCACGGCCAGGGACCCAGCCAAGGCGUGGCGGAUGCUGUCGGCGAUGGAGGGGAAGGAGCGGCUCACGGUGUUCCGGGCGGACAUGGCCGAGGAAGGGAGCUUCGACGACGCCCUCGCCGGCUGCGCCGCGCUCUUCCACGUCGCCGCCUCCAUGGACCUCCACCUAUCGCCCGACCAGCACGACGCCGAGGAGCGCGUGAGGUCGCAGGUGCUGGAGCCGGCGACGAGGGGCACCAUCAACGUGCUGCGGUCAUGCGUCCGCGCCGGGACCGUCCGCCGGGUCGUCUUCACCUCCUCCGUCAGCACGCUGGCGGCGGCCGGCGCGGAGGUGGCGGUCGUGGACGAGUCGUGCCUCCGGGACCUCGGCGACGUCUGGGCCACCAAGCCCAUCGGCUGGGUCUACAUCCUGUCGAAGCGGCUGGCGGAGGAGGCCGCGUUCGGGUUCGCGCGGGAGAACGGCCUCCGCCUCGUGUCCGUCGUCCUCCCCACGGUCGCUGGCCCGUUCCUGACGCCGGCCGUGCCCACCAGCGUGCAGCUCCUGCUGUCCCCCAUAACACGUGACCCGAAGCUGAGCGCGCUGCUGGCGUCGGUGCACGCGCGGUUCGGGUGCGUGCCGCUGGCGCACGUCCAGGACGCGUGCGACGCGCACCUCUUCCUCGCGGACGCGCCGGCCGCCGAGGGGCGCUACCUGUGCGUCGGCGGCAGCCACGCCAUGGCCGACAUCACCCGGCUCCUCGCCUCGCACUACCCUCUGUUCAACCCCGAGAACAGGUUGGGUGAUGAUCUCGAUGGUGCGAGCCCGGCGUCCGUGGUGUCGUCCAAGCGGCUGCUGGAUCUGGGGUUCAGGUUCGGGCACGACGCCGGAGACAUCCUCAGGGAUGCAGUCGCGCAGUGCGUCGACCACGGCUUCCUGGAGCCGCCUGCUGGAUGUGACUAG